GACGAACCGUGCGAACGUUAUUCGGAAUCACUGGGCUUAAAGCGCGUGUAGGCGGAUGGGUACGUCGGUAACUGAAAGCCCCCGGCUCAACCGGGGAAGGGGUGCCGAAACGACCUGUCUGGAGGGACGUAGGGGGACCUGGAACUUCCGGUGGAGCGGUGAAAUGCGUUGAGAUCGGAAGGAACGCCCGUGGCGAAAGUGAGGUCCUGGACGUCUACUGACGCUGAGACGCGAAAGCUAGGGGAGCAAACGGG
rnacentral:rRNA from 1 species